rnacentral:misc_RNA from 1 species
AACGCACCUUGCACUCUUUGGUAUUCCGAAGAGUAUGUCUGUUUGAGUGUCAUGAAACUCUCAACCCCCUCACUUUGUAAUGAAGUGAGUCGUGGGCUUGGAUUAUGGCUGUCUGUCGGCUUCAUUGCCGGCUCAGCUGAAAUACACGAGUAACCCAGUUUGAAAAACUGACGGCUUGACUCGGCGUAAUAAUUAUUAUCGCUGAGGACGUCUAACCUUCAAAUCGUUAGUGGUGCUUCUAAUGCAAAUCAUUUUAAGAUUUAGACCUCAAAUCAGUCAGGAUUACCCGCUGAACUUAA